UCUCAGUUUCAUCCAUGUAAUCCCACGGACUGUAGCACACCAGACUCCUCUGUCCAUGGAAUAUUCCAGCCAAGAAUACUGGAGUAGGUUGCGCUUCUCCAUGACAUCUUCCUGACCCAGGGAUCGAACCUGCAUCUCCUGUAUUGCAGGCAGAUUCUUUACCAUCUGAGCCACCAGGGAAGCCUGCUAGGCAUGUAGUAGGCACUCAGCUAAUACUAGUUGCAGAAACACCAAAUGAUCAGAAUUUUGUUGCAGACCAGUUUAAGUGUGGAGAACUGAUUGACUCACAUGGGUCUCAUUUUCGUCCUGCCUAUCAAAUAAAACACAGACUAGAUGGCAUCAAAAUCCUUUUCAUGUCUAAACUUCAGUGAUGCCUCAAAGGUCAGCCUGAGAUUUUCCAGGAAGCUGGGUUUUUAGAAAGAAAUGAACACUCUCACUCUGAACCCCUGAAGAAGGAUUUCUAAGACGGGGAAGGAGGCACAGUAUCUCAAAAUCAACUUGCACUGGUUUCAAAUUGGGAAGUUGGAUUUCACAUUCUUGUGAUGAAUUUCUUUGUACUUUGGUCUUUAGAUGAUGACUGAUAACAUCUAUGAUCCUACUGGGGAAGCACAUUUUAGAUAAUUUUCCCAAAUGUCUUUAUAGGUUAUACUUCCAGAGAACCUGUUGCAACACAGCGUACAGAGACCACUGUCACUUGGGAUUCACCAGGUUAUACUUCCAGAGAACCUGUUGCAACACAGCGUACAGAGACCACUGUCACUUGGGAUUCACCAGGUAAGUUACCAACCAAAGGAGAUGGGUAAUAGAUUUCCAGCCAUUAGCAUCAUAUCUGUGUAUUUAAUAAGCACCUAUC
rnacentral:lncRNA from 1 species